UAUCCUGGACCAAGUCAAGCCCAAGUCCAAAAACCUAACCUGCAUCGAUUCUGUAAUCGUCGUUGCCACUUCGUCUUCGACACCUCAGUUCUGUAAUCGCCGUUACCACCACCACCUCGGCACCUCCUGAUCAAUAAAUGAGCUCUUUAAUCCGUCCUUUAUAACGUUUCACCUCACUUUGAUCCCCUUAUAAAUUGCUUCUUCUAAACCUAAAACCACCCGAAAUCCAAAACAUCCACUGAAAAGCACAGCUAUGGCCAGUAAAUCCACCGGAAAUUCUCCCUUCUCUGAUUAUUUCAAGAACAUGACCAGCAGUAUUUGAGCUACAAUUUCGGUUGAACCGUUUCUGGGACGCUAGAUACAUUGCAAAUGGUGGGAGCUUUAUUGGGUUAGAGCUACUCCUCAUCGACAAACAGAGUACUUGAAUAAAUCAAUGUUAAUACCGAAGAAUACAUCUGAUUUAAUUCGUCCAGUCUCAGGACGGCCUCGCGUCAGACUUAUCACUGCACAAGAGCCUAGAAUCGAGAAUAAAGUGGAAAAACCAGCAAUUCUCAUGUUGCUCUGCCGCCUAUAGCAAAAUAUGUUCCCAUCACAAUGAUCCAUGUCAUGUUCUUGCACCAACAGAAGAGAAAGUAUAUGAAGACAGCUAACUUCGGGAGUUGAUUGACACCCCGGCACUUGACUGGCAGAGGUAAGCCAUCUUUCACAAAUGGUGGACGUAAAAAUGUUGAUGUUUUUAGACAUUUAUCAAUCCUCUUAUUUUUAUUCGAUUUAACAAGCAAGGUCAAUAUAAUUUUGGGGCAGGGAGAUGUUACGUAUAGGGCACUAAUGGAAGGAUGGGUGAAAGUGGUUUUAGUAAUCUUCAUAUUCUUUGUUAUUAUUAUAUUCUAGAAUGUUUUCAAUAAUUUUUUCCAAUAUCUUUGUUUUGUUUUGUUUUGUUUUGUUUUAAUUGUUUUAAAUUUUAAGAUAUUGGUUUGUUUAGUUACAAGAAGGGAAAGUAAAACUCCACCUCCGGGGUAUAUUUACCAUCGUUGUAAUGUCGCUGGUAUGUCAGCUUUUGUUAGAGUUCCUUUAUUUUUCUUACACUUUCGUAAACAGAUAAAAGGUGCUAAGUCAAGUAAAGUAUAUAUGAGAAUUACUUUACUUGACUUAGAAAUUUUUUAUUUAUCAUUGCCCCACAAUGAUGACCCUAAUUACAAUGUUAAAAGAGUCAAAUCACCUACUGCUAUCCCCAAGUCCAUGUUGGUGGCUCUUAUUCAUUGCCAAGUGGGCUGCUUUUGCAAAGGAAAUGGAGGGAUUGCCAUCAACAACACGCUCUGUACGAGAAGUUCCGCCUGAGCUAAAAUGUCCGCUAUGCAAAGAAGUAAUGGAAGAUGAUGCACUUACAAGCUGGUCAUGUUGUUUCCAGAGCUUCUGUGCGACAAGUAAAGUACUGCAGUUUCAGUAUCUGUUCUUCCUCUCAGUUUUCGUGAAUUCUUAAACCUCAAAGUAAAGCAAGGAGUGACUGGAGUCUAGGGAAUGCUCAGUCAUGUGAUAUAGAGUUCUUCUAUACAAUAGAAAGUGAACAUCACUAAAACUAAAGCAAGUAUUUUGGAUUUGUUUUAAGGGUUAUAGUUCUUUUAUGUUUAGUUAAAGUGACCCAUUUGAAUCUAGAUAUGAUUGAACGUUGAUGAAUAUGAUUCGAGCAAUUCUCUAAUAUGUUAUAGUUUCUCUUA